rnacentral:rRNA from 1 species
UACGUAGGGAGCGAGCGUUGUCCGAAGUUACUGGGCGUAAAGCGCGCGUAGGCGGGCUGUUAAGUGAGAGGUGAAAGGCUGGGGCUCAACCCCAUGCAGUGCCUCUCAUACUGGCGGUCUUGAGUGCGGCAGGGAGAAGUGGAAUGGCUGGUGUAGCGGUGAAAUGCGUAGAUAUCAGUCGGAACACCGGUGGCGAAGGCGGCUUCUUGGGCCUGGACUGACGCUGAGGCGCGAAAGCUGGGGGGAGCGAACGGG